GACCAUCUCCCAAGGCUAAAUACUCCCUAGUGACCGAUAGUGAACCAGUACCGUGAGGGAAAGGUGAAAAGCACCCCGGAAGGGGAGUGAAACAGUUCCUGAAACCGUGUGCCUACAAGUAGUUAGAGCCCGUUAAUGGGUGAUAGCGUGCCUUUUGUAGAAUGAACCGGCGAGUUACGAUUUGUUGCAAGGUUAAGCGGAAAAAGCGGAGCCGUAGCGAAAGCGAGUCUGAAUAGGGCGCAUAAGUAACAGGUCGUAGACCCGAAACCAGGUGAUCUACCCAUGUCCAGGAUGAAGGUAAGGUAAUACUUACUGGAGGUCCGAACCCACGCACGUUGAAAAGUGCGGGGAUGAGGUGUGGGUAGCGGAGAAAUUCCAAUCGAACUUGGAGAUAGCUGGUUCUCUCCGAAAUAGCUUUAGGGCUAGCCUCGAGGUAAAGAGUCAUGGAGGUAGAGCACUGUUUGGACUAGGGGCCCUUCUCGGGUUACCGAAUUCAGAUAAACUCCGAAUGCCAUGUACUUAUACUCGGGAGUCAGACUGCGAGUGAUAAGAUCCGUAGUCGAAAGGGAAACAGCCCAGACCACCAGUUAAGGUCCCCAAAUAUAUGUUAAGUGGAAAAGGAUGUGGGGUUGCUUAGACAACCAGGAUGUUGGCUUAGAAGCAGCCACCAUUGAAAGAGUGCGUAAUAGCUCACUGGUCGAGUGACCCCGCGCCGAAAAUGUACCGGGGCUAAACAUAUUACCGAAACUGUGGAUGAACCUCUUUAGAGGUUCGUGGUAGGAGAGCGUUCUAAGGGCGGUGAAGUCAGACCGGAAGGACUGGUGGAGCGCUUAGAAGUGAGAAUGCCGGUAUGAGUAGCGAAAGAAGGGUGAGAAUCCCUUCCACCGAAUAUCUAAGGUUUCCUGAGGAAGGCUCGUCCGCUC
rnacentral:rRNA from 1 species